UAAGAAUUUAAAAGUCGAACAGACUUAUUUAUUAAGAGUUCUGCUUCUUAAAAUUUUCUUAAUUCAACAUCGAGGUCGCAAAAUACAAUAUAGAUAUGAACUCCCCAUUGAAAUUACGCUGUUAUCCCUAAGGUAACUUAAUCUUGAUUCUUUUUUAAGGAUCUAAAAUAACAUAAAUAAAUGAAUACAAAAACUAAAGUUAAUUAUUUAGCUGCCACCCCAGCAAAAUAUAAAUUUACAUUAAUAUGCUUAUAUAUAAUAAAAACUUUAUAAAUACAAAAUUAUAUAAAGUUCUAUAGGGUCUUAUCGUCCCAAUAAACUAUUAAAGCAUUUUAACUUUAAAUUUAAAUUUUAAUAUUCAAAAAAAUAAAAUAUAAUUCACAUACAUCCAUUCAUACAAGCUUUCAAUUAAAAAACUAAUUACUAUGCUACCUUUGCACAGUCAAAAUACUGCAGCCAUUUAGAAACCCAUAGGGCAGAAGGUACUUUUUAUAUAACCA
rnacentral:rRNA from 1 species